GACAGAGGUGCCGAGCGUUAGGCGGAAUCACUGGGCUUAAAGCGUGUGUAGGCGGGCCGUUAAGUGUCUUGUGAAAUCCCCCGGCUCAACCGGGGAAUUGCUGGGCAUACUGGCGGUCUUGAGCAGUUCAGGGGCAGAUGGAACAAGUGGUGGAGCGGUGAAAUGCGUAGAUAUCACUUGGAACGCCAACGGUGAAAACAGUCUGCUGGGAACUUGCUGACGCUGAGGAGCGAAAGCGUGGGGAGCGAACAGG
rnacentral:rRNA from 1 species